rnacentral:sRNA from 1 species
CAUAACACAUCUGGGGACAGAUAAAGUGGAUGUGAGUAUCCACAGCACCGGCCACAAAGAUGUUUCCUUCACCAGCAAGUGCUUCAGUCGAAGCACCAAUGAUCAUUCCGUCAGUUACGCCGUCCAUGAUGUCAGGGUUUCCAGCUUUUCCAAUUCCAACAAUGUAUCCGUCUUUAAUACCGAUAUCCGCUUUGAUAAUGCCGCUAUGAUCCACGAUAAUGGCAUUGGUAAUCACCAGGUCCAGACAAUUAUCAUUCAAGGUAUGGGUGGAUUGUCCCAUACCUUCACGUAUG